UGCCUUUUGAAUAGUCCCCAAAGACUUCUU
rnacentral:piRNA from 1 species